rnacentral:snRNA from 1 species
GGAUGUGAGGGCAAUUUGGCUGUGACAUCUGUCACCCCAUUGACCACCAGGGCUGAUUUGGCUGUUCUCAUUGGCUAGGCAGGUUUCCCCUUCCUCCCUCAUGGUUCCAUGUGGCCCUUCCUGAAGCUGUGCACUAGGUUGAAGAGGUUGACCUUCCCCAAUAAAGGAGGACUGCUCUUCAGUCAUGGUAAACAAGUAGCUGUGUUCCAAUGCUAGAACCUCCAAACAAGCUCUCAAAGAUUUGAGCAAGAAAUGAAAAAAAGAUACCCAUGGAUCAUUUGUUUCAGGCUCAAAAGAUGCAUUGUCAUAAAAU